rnacentral:rRNA from 1 species
GACGAACGCUGGCGGCGUGCUUAACACAUGCAAGUCGAACGGUGAAGCUCCAGCUUGCUAGAGUGGAUCAGUGGCGAACGGGUGAGUAACACGUGAGCAACCUGCCCCUGACUCUGGAAUAAGCGCUGGAAACGGCGUCUAAUACUGGAUACGAGAAGGGUCCGCAUGGGCACUUUCUGGAAAGUUUUUCGGUUGGGGAUGGGCUCGCGGCCUAUCAGCUUGUUGGUGAGGUAAUGGCUCACCAAGGCGACGACGGGUAGCCGGCCUGAGAGGGCGACCGGCCACACUGGGACUGAGACACGGCCCAGACUCCUACGGGAGGCAGCAGUGGGGAAUAUUGCACAAUGGGCGAAAGCCUGAUGCAGCGACGCCGCGUGAGGGAUGACGGCCUUCGGGUUGUAAACCUCUUUCAGCAGGGAAGAAGCGAAAGUGACGGUACCUGCAGAAGAAGCACCGGCUAACUACGUG